rnacentral:tRNA from 1 species
GCCAGCAUGGUGUAGUGGUUUGAGCAUUGGACUGUGACUCUAGAGACCAGGGUUCAAAUCCCAGGUCAGCCA